GACGAACGCUGGCGGCGUGCUUAACACAUGCAAGUCGAACGGAAAGGCCCUGCUUUUGUGGGGUGCUCGAGUGGCGAACGGGUGAGUAACACGUGAGUAACCUGCCCUUGACUUUGGGAUAACUUCAGGAAACUGGGGCUAAUACCGGAUAGGAGCUCCUGCUGCAUGGUGGGGGUUGGAAAGUUUCGUCGGUUGGGGAUGGACUCGCGGCUUAUCAGCUUGUUGGUGGGGUAGUGGCUUACCAAGGCUUUGACGGGUAGCCGGCCUGAGAGGGUGACCGGCCACAUUGGGACUGGGAUACGGCCCGGACUCCAAGGGGAGGGAGCGGUGGAGAAUAUUGCACAAUGGGCGGAAGCCUAAUGCAGCAACGCCGCGUGCGGGAUGACGGCCUUCGGGUUGUAAACCGCUUUCGCCUGUGACGAAGCGUGAGUGAAGGUAAUGGGUAAAGAAGCACCGGAUAACUACGUG
rnacentral:rRNA from 1 species